rnacentral:snRNA from 1 species
AUGCUCACUUGGGCAGCACGUGUACCAAGCUUGGAAGGAUACACAGAAGAUUAGCAUGGCACACGAUGUUGGGAAGCAUUCCCUGUUUUU